UCAAGUCCAAGACUGACUAUGAAGUCGUGCUCUACGCAAAACCAUUUGCUUAUGCUCCCAAGACUCCUUAUGAGGAAUGUGAGAAGCCCAAGCCAACUCCUGCUCCUUACCACUACAUAUCUCCUCCGCCACCAACUUAUGUCUAUAAAUCACCACCACCUCCACCACCAACUUACCUAUACAAGUCACCGCCACCACCAGUGAAACCUCCACCAAAGCCGUAUUAUUACGUCUCCCCACCACCACCAACUUAUGUCUAUAAAUCACCACCACCUCCACCACCAACUUACCUAUACAAGUCACCGCCACCACCGGUGAAACCUCCGCCAAAGCCGUAUCAUUACGUCUCCCCACCACCACCUACUGUAUCUCCACCGCAUUAUUACUACACAUCACCACCACCACCGGUGAAACCUCCGCCAAAGCCGUAUCAUUACAUCUCCCCACCACCACCGGAGAAAUCUCCACCACCACCCUAUCCUUACAUCUCCCCGCCACCGCCGGAGAAAUCUCCACCACCACCCUAUCCUUACAUCUCCCCACCACCGCCGGAGAAAUCUCCACCACCGCCCUAUCCUUACAUCUCCCCGCCACCGCCGGAGAAAUCUCCACCACCACCCUAUCCUUACAUCUCCCCGCCACCGCCGGAGAAAUCUCCACCACCACCCUAUCCUUACAUCUCCCCGCCACCGCCGGAGAAAUCUCCACCACCACCCUAUCCUUACAUCUCCCCACCACCGCCGGAGAAAUCUCCACCACCACCUUAUCCUUACAUCUCCCCGCCACCGCCGGAGAAAUCUCCACCACCACCCUAUCCUUACAUCUCCCCGCCACCGCCGGAGAAAUCUCCACCACCACCUUAUCCUUACAUCUCCCCACCACCGCCGGAGAAAUCUCCACCACCUCCAUACCACUACACCUCACCUCCCCCACCCGAAAAAUCACCUCCUCCACCAGUCUACACUUAUGCUUCUCCCCCACCCCCAACUCACUACUGAGCUCCAACAGCUCCGCCACUUUCCACCUUCAAGAAAGUAAGUUCAUUACUAUUCAACUGGUCAUUCAUUUUAUUCCUUGGCAAAAACAAAUCAUAAACUUAACAUCCAUAUACACAAGCCUCUUAACUCUUUCUUCAUCUUGCAGAUUUCCAUUUCAACCAAAGAAUAAAGGAAGGCUUCUUGAGAAGAAGAUAC
rnacentral:lncRNA from 1 species